GCAUAAAAUAUGUUUUUAUUACAUAAUCGAGUACGAGUUACAAAUAAUAGUACUAGUAACAAGGAAUUACAAUUACCAUUAAUAAUAGGGUAGGCAUUGAUCAAAACAUUACUUCACAUAGGCAUUUCAACAAGCACCUUACAUGCACAAUAUUAGUACCUUAGCUCCUAACAAAACCAUCAAUGCCUACCAUAGCCAAGCAACCGCUAACCCAUCAGGGCGGAUACAAAAAUCCACAACCAUCUCCGCUUUUGUUGCACUUCACAUUAGCAUAACUCAUGACCCAAAACUAGCUCACAUUAGCAUAACUCAUGACCCAAAACUAGCCAAACAUAGAACAUAAACCUAUUAAAACGUCCUAACCAUUGCAAAUUUAUAAUUUUUAAACUCUUCUAUUGGCCAAGCAAAUGCAUCAAUUGAUCAUGUGCAACUUUGCAAUCAUUCUACAAAAUUGUUGAUUUUCUUUUGAGUUUCCUUAAUUUCUACCAACAACUCAAUCCCCUAAGCUCGAUAUUAACCAAAUUCGUCCUCACAAUCUGGAAUCUUCUCAUCCAAUCGAGCAACAAUUCCUUUGCACUUCUAUAAGGCAUCAUAUCUACCCAUUGAAUGAAAGAAAAUCUCUUCCUAUCUGUAUCAAACCUUUCCACAAAAUUUCCUCCCUUCAUUACCAUCUAUAGUGAUAGUCUUAAUGGGUGAAACCACCUCGCAUUUACAUUUUUGAACUCUAGAGCUUGAAAUUUUGACUUGACUUUGCUCAGAUUCAUAGUGCAAGUUUAUGCUUGAGCUCUCAUUCCCCUGUAUUGAUGAAAAUUUCAAAUCUGAUUAGGAUCCAAAGGGCUAAUAAUUGAAAGAACAAAAUGGUUAACAGUAGAAGGGGCCAAUUUAUUUUCUUUGUGAUUUUCUCUUCUUUUUUAUUUUCUGAUGCGGUCCAUGGAAAUUGCAAGUAUAGACCUGCAAAACAGAUAACAAAUGGGUUAAAG
rnacentral:misc_RNA from 1 species